rnacentral:rRNA from 1 species
AGAGUUUGAUUCUGGCUCAGGACGAACGCUGGCGGCGUGCCUAACACAUGCAAGUCGAACGGAGAUAGACGCUGAAAGGGAGACAGCUUGCUGUAAGAAUUUCUUGUUUAUCUUAGUGGCGGACGGGUGAGUAACGCGUGAGUAACCUGCCUUUCAGAGGGGGAUAACGUCUGGAAACGGACGCUAAUACCGCAUGAGACCACAGCUUCACAUGGAGCGGCGGUCAAAGGAGCAAUCCGCUGAAAGAUGGACUCGCGUCCGAUUAGAUAGUUGGCGGGGUAACGGCCCACCAAGUCGACGAUCGGUAGCCGGACUGAGAGGUUGAACGGCCACAUUGGGACUGAGACACGGCCCAG